GCUGGUGUGGCUCAAUGGCAGAGCAAUCGCCGAUGUUCGCGAUGGGUUACGGGUUCAACUCCUGUCACCAGCU
rnacentral:tRNA from 2 species